GACAGAGGGUGCAAGCGUUGUUCGGAAUCAUUGGGCGUAAAGGGCGCGUAGGCGGUUUUGUAAGUCGAAUGUGCAAGCCCAGGGCUCAACCUUGGAAGUGCAUCCGAAACUGCGAAACUUGAAUCCUGGAGAGGGUGGUGGAAUUCCCAGUGUAGAGGUGAAAUUCGUAGAUAUUGGGAGGAACACCGGUGGCGAAGGCGACCACCUGGACAGAGAUUGACGCUGAGGCGCGAGAGCGUGGGGAGCAAACAGG
rnacentral:rRNA from 1 species